ensembl:lncRNA
GGUGUCGUCCCCUUCCUGGGCUCACUCCUCGAUUACCUGCAGCUUCUGGACACUGAGAUGGAGGAUUAUCUGAAGGAGCGUGAGCAUGGAGGUGGGAACAGGGAACAGGAUCCUGAGGUUUGGGAGGCGAGAGCCCUGCACUGGGCCCUGAGCUCUCAGCACUUGGCAAAGCUCCUCUCCUGAGAACCUCCUGGCCGCCCCUGGAGCUGGGGCCUCAGGCACAUCUUAGCAAUGUGAGACCCAAGGCUUUGCAUAAUCCCCCCUCCAGGCUCCCUGGGCUGGGGGAGCUCAGAGCUGCCCUGACUACAGAGCUGCAGGAGGUGGGUGUCAGAGCUGGACUCAGCCUCUCCCUCAGGCCCCGCCCCUGGGGGAGUGAAGUCAGCCCCUGCAAGUCAGGAAGCACAUCCGUGGUCCAGCUGUCCCUUCCUUGCUGAGGGCUCAGUCUCCCUGUCUGUCAUCAGAGAGGUUGGAGCUACAGAGUCUGUGGCCUCAGUGACCCUGUCCCCCCUGCGCUGGAGCCCAGAGCCUGGCCCAGGUUCAGGCUCUCCUUGUGGCAGUGUCUGCCCUCUGCUGGGCCCUGGCAGUCCUGCAACCUGGGAAGGGGUGGGCUGGGGGCUAGUCAUGGGCCAAGGGGCCUGUUUCUGAUGGACAUUGGCUGUCUGCCUUCGAGGGAAAUAUGGUGAACUUCCAGAAAUGGAGUGAGGUGAGCAGCCGUGCCCUCGAUGCGGGGAGGGUGGGGCUGUGGAAAUCAGAGACCUCCCCUGCAAGACUUUCUCUGGCCUCAUCCCUUGGGUCUUAUCUUUAUUGGGAGAGUUAGAUACAGGCAGCUGGGGAUCCCAUCACAUUGGGGGUGGGGAGGAGGGGCUGACAUCGAGGACACCUUCCUGGAUGAGGAACUAUUUCAACCCAACUGUGAGAAAAGGCAAGUCCUGAAUGGAGUGGGAGGGAAGGAGGGUUCCCAAUGAGCAAAGACCCCAGAGCAGCUCCUCACUACCCACAAGUUCCUGGCUGGGUUCCCCCCCAGGCCCUGUCUGCAUCCUGUCCUUCCUCCCAGAAAUUCAAGGUCAUUAAAAGGAUCCAGCUGCUCCAGGCGGCUGCCAAUGAAUGCCACCUGCAGCCCGAGGAGCACUUUGGGGCCUGGUUCCAGGCCAUGGAGCCCCUCCGUGAGGAAGAGAGCUACAGCCUGUCCUGCCAGCUGGAGCCCCCAAACAUGAAGGUGAGCAAAACGCGAGGCUUCUUCAGGACCAAGAAGAACCGGCCAUCCUCAAGAUUGGGGCUGACUGCCAUGCGCUUGGCAAGGAGCCAUCACACUCUAGAUGCCACCACAAGCUCAGCCUCUUCAGGUGCAGGGACAUGGCUGGGACCCUCGGGGUGCACCAGGCCAGCUCUUCCCACCCGGAUGUGAAGGAGGACAUCGAAGAAAAAUCAUGGUAAAUAAAAAUCGAGGUUUCCCAUGAAAGAAGUUGCCUGUUGCCUGUUGCCUGCCAGAGGGGCUGUGAGACACCCAGACCCGUUCCUGGACUCAUCUCUGCCCAAUAUGGACACUGGUCAGGAGUGGGCUAGGGUUGGUGUGCAGAUCCCUCAGCUCCAGCCAUGGCCCAGGGAUUCACCUAGACCACCUGGUGCAAUUAUCUUUAAGGUAUUUGUGAAUCGGAAGGACUUAAGACUUCUCCUUCGCUGCUGCCAGCCUGGAGGCCCUGCAGUCUCUCCUCUCCAUACACUCACCGGGUCUUCUCCAAGGUCUCCUCCCACUGACGGCCCCUGACCUCACGGCCAGGAUGGGAAGUUAUCCUA